UGCAGAAUCCCGUGAACCAUCGAGUCUUUGAACGCAAGUUGCGCCCGAAGCCAUUAGGUUGAGGGCACGUCUGCCUGGGUGUCA
rnacentral:rRNA from 1 species